rnacentral:rRNA from 1 species
CUACGGGGGGCAGCAGCUGAGGAAAUUUUACAAUGCUCGAAAGAGUGAUAAAAUAAACCAGAGUGUUUCUUUCUAAGAAACUUUUGUCUGUUUUAAAAAGACAGACGAAUAAGGACUGGGCAAGACCGGUGCCAGCCGCCGCGGUAAUACCGGCGGUCCGAGUCGCAUCAACAUUUAUUGGGUCUAAAACAUCCGUAGCUUGUUUUGUAAGUUUCUUGUGAAAUCUCAUAUCUCAAGUAUGAGGCGUGCAAGAAAUACUGCAUUACUAGAGACCGGAAGACGUAAGGAGUACGAUUGAGGUAGUGGUAAAAUACGUUAAGCUCAAUUGGACUAACAAUGGCGAAGGCACCUUACGAGUACGGGUCUGACAGUGAGGGAUGAAGGCUAGGGGCGCAAAAGGGAUUAGAUACCCUCGUAGUC